rnacentral:rRNA from 1 species
GAACGGGUGAGUAACGCGUGGAUGAUCUACCUAUGAGAUGGGGAUAACUAUUAGAAAUAGUAGCUAAUACCGAAUAAGGUCAGUUAAUUUGUUAAUUGAUGAAAGGAAGCCUUUAAAGCUUCGCUUGUAGAUGAGUCUGCGUCUUAUUAGCUAGUUGGUAGGGUAAAUGCCUACCAAGGCAAUGAUAAGUAACCGGCCUGAGAGGGUGAACGGUCACACUGGAACUGAGAUACGGUCCAGACUCCUACGGGAGGCAGCAGCUAAGAAUCUUCCGCAAUGGGCGAAAGCCUGACGGAGCGACACUGCGUGAAUGAAGAAGGUCGAAAGAUUGUAAAAUUCUUUUAU